UACGGGGGGAGCAAGCGUUGUUCGGAUUUACUGGGCGUAAAGGGCGCGUAGGCGGCCACCGCAAGUCGACUGUGAAAUCUCCGGGCUUAACCCGGAAAGGUCAGCCGAUACUGCGGGGCUAGAGUGCAGAAGGGGCAACUGGAAUUCUCGGUGUAGCGGUGAAAUGCGUAGAGAUCGGGAGGAACACCAGUGGCGAAGGCGGCCUUCUGGGCCUUUCCUGACGCUGAGACGCGAAAGCGUGGGGAGCGAACCGG
rnacentral:rRNA from 1 species